rnacentral:lncRNA from 1 species
CGAGCUCAGGAAUUGCCCGAGCCCAGAAAUUGCCAUCUCACAGUGCGCAGGCGCAGGGGUCAACGGGUGCGCAUGCGCAGACAAGGCAAUUUGUGGGCUUGAUAUUCCGUGAGAUGAGAACGUGUCCGAGCUGAGGAAUUGCCCAUGUGUUAGGACAGAAUAUGUCUUGAAUUUAACAACAUUGUCAAGUGUGGUAGACUCGCGGAUCGAGGACGUGUUGUGAUGCAGCUCAAUAACAAAUCACCGCUACAAAAAUAAAAAGUGGAGAUCUCCAGAGAUGGGAGCUAAUUUCCGAAAAUUGGGUGCACAAGAUUUGCAAUAUAGUACAGUGGAGCAGAAAGAGGGAUAUCACAAUAUGGUAAACAGUGUAAAAUGCAAAUGAUGUCAACUGCUGCAUUUUUUCUACCAGCAAAUGACAAUUGAGCUGAUUUCACAAUGAGGAAUAAAUAUGCUGUUAGUUUAAAUUGUAAAUUUAUGUUUUGUAUCAUGUAUGACAGUACUGUACUUCUCUGAUUGCUUCCAACCCACACAACAUCGAUUGCCAGCCAAACAACUGCACAUAGAAUAAACCCGGGCCCCCUCGCUCAUGUGAUACAUCAUCACAUUAAGUCAAAUGAGAAUUAAGAAACAUCAAGGGUUUUUCCACACGUUUCUGUAAAAUACACACAGGUUUCAUUGUUUUCAUUUAACUUCUACUGUUCAUGCUGUUAUAUAAGUGACUUAGUACCCAGAUUAUGACCCUAGAGUUGUGGGUAAAGCACUGUACCAGUGUACAUUCAUUAUUACUCAAUAAAUCUUAGUUGUCCUUAAUGUAUAAGGUGAAUGUCCAUGAAAAAUUUGUUGUUUGCACAUGCACUUAAAAUGGACACUUACAACACCUACACUUGGAAAUGAAUAUUUGCCUUACGUUUACAUAUUUAUAUAUAAGCACACACACGUACACACACCAUCCCCUUUCAUGUACACAUGCAGGCACCCUCGCAAAAAAAAAUGUUAAUACCAUAUAAUUAUGAACCCUUAUGCUUCAUAUUGAGAUGGGUGUAGCUGCAAACAUAAAGAACAUAUGGCUAUUCAGAUUGUUCAUAUCAGUGCAUAGCUCCUCACAGUGUUACAUUGUCCCAGUGUGCAGUGACUAUUGUUGUUAUUAAUACUCUAUUUAACUGUAAAAAAUUUGAUGACCAGUGUAAAAAUGAUUUACCACACUACUAUAUUCACAAUCCAAAUGCUUAUAAAUUCCAGCCAUUAUUAACUUUAAAGAAAUCAAAAGACCCUCAGCAUAUUAGCCAAAGUUGUGAAGAUAUUACUAAGGAUGGUGAACCAGAUAAAUGAAUAAAAUGUAUAUGUGAGAUAUUGUACAUUGCAGUGGAUGGGAGUGUGUACCCCUUGGAGGGUGAAUAAAUAGUAAAGAAUACAGAAUGUAUGUGACAGGAAGAGAGAGAGAGAGCAAAGGUGUGUUUAUCCUGUUUGAGUAUGCUUUUGUUACAUAUGCAGGUAUGGGGCUGGAGGAAGGAAAGAAUGAGUGCUACAAAAAAUUAGUUGGGAUUUUUAUAUAUAUAAGCUGUCUGCAUGUAGGUUUGGUUAAUGCUCUGUGCUUUGAGCUAAAGAUUUGCAUUGUCAUCAAGAUCCUAGGUGUGAAUGACUUGGGGAAACAUGCAUUUGCAAGGUACUCUUGUACUAAGGCUUUUAUUGCAUGUGCACAUUACUUUCAAACGUGACUGUCCACUGCAAAGGAUUUUAUUAUAAUUAGAAGUCAAUGGUUUCUUGCCCUUUUUAUGUAGAAAGUCUUCUUUGUUGUAAUUUAUCAUUACAUUGGACCAUGUGUGCAAUUUUUAAAUUCAUGAAUAUACACCUUUCAUAUUAUACCAAUUGAAAUGUU